rnacentral:lncRNA from 1 species
AUGCGGGUGCAGGGCCCAAGCACUUGGGCCAUCCUCCACUGCACUCCCUGGCCACAGCAGAGAGCUGGCCUGGAAGAGGAGCAACCGGGACAGAAUCCGGCGCCCCGACCGGGACUAGAACCCAGUGUGCCGGCUGCAAGGCGGAGGAUUAGCUUAUUAAGCUGCGGCGCCGGCCAGCACUCUUCUUCAUCUUAUGUGGUCCUCAGCGUCCCAGCUGACGUCAAGAGGUUUCACUUUGCUCGAUAUUGUGUAUCACUGGCGGGCCCCAAGUCCGUGUUAAUGCCUGCCCAAGUAUCAGGAUUUCAGCAGCCGGAUGCAGUUAUAAAAUACGGUGAUGGCUCGCAGGCACCAUCUGCUUUCCCCCAAGCACUCACUCUCUUGUCAAUUAUUGAUAGUGACCUUCCAGCCCAGUCCCUGACGCCUCUCACUCUGUCCCCAGUGCUGCUGCACUUGGAAGCCCAACGCCUCCCGCCCCACUGCUUUCUCAGAUGUUCUCAACACAGUCUCCAAAGACAUCCCAAAGUCAGCCACAUGCCCUUGACCUUCCAUGCCUGUGUUCUUUCCUUCUUUCCUUCCUUCCUUCCUUCCUUCCUCACAUCCUCAUAUAUUCUGCACUUUGCUGAGCCUGAAAUCCCCGCCCCCAAACUCAAGUCCCCAAUGAGCACGGCCUUUUCUCCAGCCACGCCUGGCAGGACGAGACACAGAGCCGUGUGGGAGAGAGAAGGCUCUCGACACCUGGCUGCACCUGCCCAUGGAGGUCCAGCUCACCGAACUCCUCAUCAGUGGUCCGAGGGGGCCAGAGGAUGGAUUUCUCUGCUGUCCACCCAGGCACCAGCAACCCGUGGGCAGUCCAGACAGCCUCUGUUGGUAGCGGCGGCCGGCAGGGGCAGGGAACGCUUGGCUAAGGAAGUUCCUGCUUUUACGCUGCUCAGGGUCGGUGGGGGGGGGGGAGGGGGAGUUGAGCUGAAUAUGCACCUAUUCAGAAGGGCAAACAGCCAAAAAGAAACCCAAGCAACAUUUCCACUGACGGGCCCAGAAAUAGAGCUCCACCCGGAGCACGCCAGGGCGGCAGACUGA